rnacentral:lncRNA from 1 species
UGAGAUGUUAAAGCGCAAGGAAAUUCAUUUGAGGCAGUGUGUCAAAUGGUGUUUGACAAGAAUGAGCCACUCUGUCUUUGUUCACUAUAUAUUUAAUAUUUUAUUAUUGUUGUUGUUGUUGUUAUUAAUUGGCUUUCUGUAUCCUAUGCCUUUUAUUUAUAAAGACACUAAAAAAAAACCAUGUUUGUAAUUUUAAUAACAUUUCCCCAUCUUUUAAUAUCCAGAGCUACUUUAUAAAUUCUCUAAACCAAAAGUAUUUCCUCAAGAUCUCCUUUCUCCCCCCAGUUCCUAUAGGGAAAAAUCACCCAACAUAGUUCGGGUUACAAGAAGGGUCAGCCACACAAUUCAGUGCUUCAGUUUUAAAAGUAAAACAGACAGACACUAGAGUGUUGUCCAGAGCAUCAUAGAAAGCAGACCUAGCAGAUUUAGGAAAAACAGAAGUCAAAGUUUAAUACCACAUUUACUUCUGAGUUUUCUGAAUUACUUUGUGAGAUCAUGUAGAAGACUCAGGAAAUCUGUUUCUUCACCAAGAUCAAGUUAGAAUGUUUGACACUGCCAUGCUGGGGAUGACGUGGCAGCAGGAAGCCUGGCUCGUGUGGUGGCUUCUGGUCGUUCUGGACUAGCAGCUUAUCCUUAUAAAAUGCUGAUUGGCAAUGCCAAGUCACCGGGACCAAUUUCUGUUUUAUAAUGUUUAAGUUUAGAACAGAACAUCACCUGAACUGUAGUGCUUUGAGAGGAUGGAGGUGGAAACCCCCAUUUUCAGUCUCAUCACUUCUGUGGUUAUUUAUACAAGGGCUGUGCUGUGCUACCAUAUUCCUGCUCGAAUAUGAUGGAGUUUGUUUAUUUUCUCGCAUUGUUAAAUGUUCCUUGCCCCUAAAGGUCCAUGUUAAGAACAAUGUUCUGAAUAUAUGAUUUGGUUACAAAAAGUAUGUCUUCUUAUUGAAGAGUUAGCUCAGUGGUUGAUAUUUGUGCUAAGAUGCAGCUUCCCAGUUACUGUUACAAGUUACAGCUGCCAAUGGGAAGACUCAAUAAGCCAGCAAAGGCCUUGAAAAUCAUGAUUUAUUAAAUUUAUAUCUGGCAGAAGGACCUAAAUAAACUGUGAACUACAUUGU